CAGAAUGCACAGAUAAAUUUGAAUUUCAGAUAAAUAAUGAAUACUUUUAAAAUAUAAACACAUCCCAUGCAAUAUUUGGGACAUAUUUAUACUAAAAAUUUAUUCUUUGUUUACCUGAAAUUCAGAUUUAUUUGUGUGUCCUGUA
rnacentral:miRNA from 1 species